rnacentral:rRNA from 1 species
AUUGAACGCUGGCGGCAGGCCUAACACAUGCAAGUCGAGCGGAGCGGCGGACGGGUGGGUAAUGCCUAGGAAUCUGCCUGGUAGUGGGGGAUAACGUCCGGAAACGGGCGCUAAUACCGCAUACUAGCAGAUGGACCUGGGUUGGUGUGGCUAGUUGGUGGGGUAAAGGCCGACCAAGGCGACGAUCCGUCACUGGUCGGAGAGGAUGACCAGUCACACUGGAACUGAGACACGGUCCAGACUCCUACGGGAGGCAGCAGUGGGGAAUAUUGGACAAUGGGCGAAAGCCUGAUCCAGCCAUGCCGCGUGUGUGAAGAAGGUCUUCGGAUUGUAAAGCACUUUAAGUUGGGAGGCGUUACCAACAGAAUAAGCACCGGCUAACUCCGUGCCAGCAGCCGCGGUAAUAC